AUACUGAGGGUGCAAGCGUUAAUCGGAAUUACUGGGCGUAAAGCGCGCGUAGGCGGUUUAUCAAGUCAGAUGUGAAAGCCCUGGGCUUAACCUGGGAACUGCAUUUGAAACUGAUAAACUAGAGUUUGGUAGAGGGUGACGGAAUUCCAGGUGUAGCGGUGAAAUGCGUAGAUAUCUGGAGGAACAUCAGUGGCGAAGGCGGUUGCCUGGACCAAAACUGACGCUGAGGUGCGAAAGCGUGGGGAGCAAACAGGAUUAGAAACCCCUGUAGUCC
rnacentral:rRNA from 1 species